UAGCCUACGGGACGCAGCAGUGAGGAAUAUUGGUCAAUGGACGGAAGUCUGAACCAGCCAUGCCGCGUGCAGGAAGACGGCUCUAUGAGUUGUAAACUGCUUUUGUACAAGGGUAAACCUGAAUACGUGUAUUCAGCUGAAAGUACUGUACGAAUAAGGAUCGGCUAACUCCGUGCCAGCAGCCGCGGUAAUACGGAGGAUCCAAGCGUUAUCCGGAUUUAUUGGGUUUAAAGGGUGCGUAGGCGGACUGGAAAGUCAGCGGUAAAAUCGAGAGGCUCAACCUCUUUCCGCCGUUGAAACUGUCG
rnacentral:rRNA from 1 species